CAUCAAUCAUUUGGAAAAUAUUAAUUCAUUGAGUGAAUAUUUGACCUUUCAAAUGUUGGCUAUACAAUAUUUUGAAAAAUCACAUUUGUUACUAUCACUGAUCUCAUUAGAAAAGUCUUUGAGGCAUUGGGAAGCUGUCUGGUUUACACAAGCAGGUACAAGUUUACCAAAAUUCAAAGUUUUGCUUGAAGGUUCAAAUGUUAUUUUCAGCAACGAAUAAUGUUUGUUAUUUUCCUUGAAGUGACAGGCUCUCUAUUUAGUCUCAAGAAAAAGUUUGUCAAAUAGCCAAGGCUGAAUAACAAUAGUUUGCAGUCAGUUGUCUUUUAGGGAAAAAAUGCUUCCAUGCAAAAAUAGGCUAUUUCAGCCUACAACUCAUAGCAAGUGUGUAAGUAUUAGAGUAUACUGUAAGUGCUUCAUGCUCACAAUUACUACAAAUGUCAACAUGGUAAAGAAGGCAAAUAACGUCUUAAUAUUAUUUAAAAAAUAGUUUUGAUCUUAUGCUCCUGCAAAAGGAUCUUAGAGAAGCCCAGGGGUCCACAGACCACACUUUGAGAGCCGCUGCUCUAGGGUAUUCUAACAUUAAAUUACAAGACUCAUUGACCCCACACAGAUGAAAUUUACAACAAUAUGGCUUUUAAUUAAUCAACUUUUCCUGCAACUUCUACCCUAUCAGGAACAAAUAAGCCAAGAGCAAAAUGUUACAAAAGAUUGUGAUAACUGAGUUUAAGAUCAAUGUACGAGAACUGUCUUAUCAAUAUCACCCAUAAUUAUUAGUGUAAAGAAGUCACAAAAUGUCUUUUAAAAAAUUCUACCCUGAAAAUAUUUCAGAAUGUAAGAAGUGGCAAUAAUUAUAAUAAGUGGCUACAAACUCCACUUUGAAUGCAUUUUCAGCAGCUUUUUUCCUAAACAUUUAUCACGUAUUAUUUUAUUUUAACAUGUCUCUGUGAUAUGGGUACAUAGGACUUGAUAUCAUCUCUGUUUUAGAGAUGAGGAAACUGAGAAAAAAAUGACUAGAUUCACCCACCAUUGCCUAGGAAACUGGCGGUGGAACUGGGUAGCUCUCCUGAUGAAUAUUUCAAUGCCUUUUCUUUUUCACCCUGUGGAAUCACUUGGCCAGCCAGACUCAGCAAACACGUUUCAUGUCAAUAAAAAGAGAAUAUUCCAAUGAGCCCAGUGACUUUGGAAAUCCCUAAAGUGGAGUGUUCCAAGUAACUGAAAACCUGGGGGGAAAGAGUGACCUCUGUGAGCUUUUCCAGCUUCCACUUCUGCUGAUGGGUGGAAGUUCAUAGGAAGGAAGACAUUCUCUUAGCCUGGGCUAUGUCCCUUGCUAAAUUUAGGAUUCCAGAUUAUAGAAACACCCUCAGAUGACCAAGCCCUCCACCCCUGAUGUUCUGGGAGCUCUCAUUCUGAAAGAACAAAUGCAUUUUUCCUUCCCCUUUGGAACCAGAUAGUAAACUUGGCCAAGGAGCCUGCCAGCCACUGGCCUGGUGUGAGUGAGUGGGGUGAUUAUUUGGAGAUUUAGGCAGAAAGUGUUGAAGGGAAAGAGGCUGUGGGUGGGGAGGGACAAUCAGCUAAAGAGAUGGGAAGUAUCAUCCUCUUGUCUUGUUAAAGCAGAAAACUGUUUAAAAUGUCAUGCCCAUAUUUACUAGCUGUUUAUAGGUAACAGAAUCUCCUCUGUGUGUCGUCAGUGAGUAAUUGCCAUAACAAUGUUGUAUUUACAUGACCCAUAUUUUACCCCACAAAGGCAGAGAAGAUCCUUAAAGAAAUUGCAUAUACCUCUAUGGUGUGUAGAGAAGAACAGCUGCUUUCCUCCCUCUUCCUACUCAUAUGGCUCUUGAAAAUGCUCUCAGCCUCUUCCUUUAAUAAUUUCCAUCAUGUCCUCCUCUGCCCUUUAGAUUGUAGCACACGAUUUAAAUGGAAGGUGCAGGGAAGUGUUUCUGAGUGGUUUGCCUGACUCAAGCCACCUGGUGGGCAAGGGGCAGCAUCUGAGAGGCUUCCUUCCACAGCCCGCCUCUUAGGGCCCAAGAGAUAACAAGACCACAUGCAGCUCAGAUGCAAUCACUUCUUAACAUAGCUCAGAGGCAAUCACUUCUUAACAUUUGAGAAAACUUGCCUGGGUGAAAAACCAUUUUCCCAGACAGCAAUUUGCCUAGGAGUUGCAAUGACAUUGUCUUUCUGUGCCAAGAAUAUCAAUCAGUUCAAAAGUCCCUCUCCUGAGAGCCACUGGCAAGAUCCUGGGCGUGCACACACAAGCAGUAUCUGUAACCCUGCUGCUUGGGGUUAGUGUAAAUGUCAAGGCUGUGUAUUAGAAUUAAUUGUUCUGCCACUAUCUGCUCUUCCUUUCUCUUUUCCUCCUUUUGUAUAAUCGUUUGCCUUUUUUUUUCUCCCUCGAUCUUGUUGUUUCUAGCUUUAUUGUUCUCAGUUUAGACUUGUGAGCCUUUGGGAUGAAAAGUGAUGUAAACUCUUGGAGAGGAAAGAACCCUGGAUCAUAGGCCAGAAGGCCUAAGUCCCAGUAACACUCUCAUCCGUUAGUCCAGUCACAUCACUAACCUAUCUCCACCUCAGUUUUCCAUCUCAAACUGGAGAUAAUAAUCUGUAUAUUGAUUGCUUUUUGAGACCCUUGUAAGAAUCAAUUGUUAUUAUGUAGCACUAUUGAACAUAUGUACUUACUUUCAUUACAGUACCUAGAACACCAGCUAGUGCAUAGAAGGUGCCCAAUAAACAUUUGUUGAAUUGAUGACUAUAUUUGGAAAUAUUUUGUAAACUAUGAAAUCACUACACACAUGUUUUUAUGACAUUUUUCAUAGAUGAUGCUACUAGCCUGCAGUGCUCUAGGCCUUGGGUUGUGUCUUGUCAUGUCGGCUGUGUAAACAGGCUGGCUCCUGCCAUGCCACAGGUGGCUGGGGAUCUCUUUCCAGGCCACAGCAUCUACUUGGUUUCUGUGAUUCCAAUUCCUGUGUGGAUCUGACCCACUAACUAGAAGUUUGCGCUAAGUGAACCUUGGUGUGUAAAUGUUGGUGCUGGAGGGUGAAUGUGGGUACCUUGAAGCCCUGGUCUUAUAAAUGAGUAACAUGUUUCUGUAUAACAUGGAAUGAUACAGAUGAUGGCAUUGAGAAUCCUGCUGGUCUCGGAAAUUUCAAGGGAGUUCUAGACCAGAUCAAACAAGAGACAAUGGAAGAUACCAGUAUUUGGCAAAGGAAAGACAUUUAGAAUUUAGAAGUAUUCUAAAGGAUGAUUUCUUUUUUUUUUUCUUUCUUUCUUUUUUUUUUUUUUUUUUUUUGGAGACAGUCUCACUCCUUCACCCAGGCUGGAGUGCAGUGGCGUGAUCUCAGCUCACUGCAAACUCUGUCUCCUGGGUUCAAGCGAUUCUCAUGCCUCAAUCUCCUAAGUAGCUGGGAUUACAGACAUGCGCCACCACGCCGGGCUAAUUUUUGUAUUUUUAGUAGAGAUGGGAUUUCACCAUGUUGGCCACGCUGGUCUCAAUCUCCUGACCUCAGGUGAUCCACCUGCUUUUGCCUCCCAAAGUGCUGGGAUUACAGGUGUCAGCAACCACACGCAGCUCUAAUGGAUGAUUUCUAUUUACAUCCUUCUUAUAGACUGAGACAGAUCCCCCUAAAAUUCAUGUGUUGGGACCCUAGCCUCUGUAUUUGGAGACAGAGUCUGUGAGGAGAUGUUAAAGGAUAAAUAAAGUCAUAAGGUUAGGGUCUUAAUCCAAUGAGGCUGGUGUCCUUAUAAGAAGAAAAGGAGAUACUAGAUCUCUCUUUCUCCCUCCACUCUUGUCUUCUGCUCCACAAAGGAAAUAUCAAUGGAUAUUCCUCACAAGUCUAAACUGAGAACAGUAAAGCUAGAAACAACAAGAUCGAGGGAAAGAAAAGGCAAAAGAUUAUACAAAAGGAGGAAAAGAGAUAGGAAAAGCAUAGUGGCAGAACAAUUAAUUCUAAUACACAGCCUUGACAUGGAGCAAGAAGGAGGCUGUCUGCAAGCCAUGAAGAGAGAGCUCUUACCAGGAACUGAAUCGGCCACCUUGGUCUGAAACUUCUAGCUUCUAGCUUCCAGAACUGUGUGAAAAUAAAUGUCUGUGCCUUAAGCUACCCAGCCUAUGGUAUUUAUUAUGGCAGGCCAAGCUGACUAAUACAACCCUCACCUCCUCUGUCUCAUUUCUGGGUAGCUAUCCUGAAAUUCAUGAUUCUGACAUUCUCCUAUAUGCAAAGAACAUUGAAGUCUAUGAGCAGACUGAAUGUAUAUGUCUAAAUAUCCUUGUGAACUAAGCAUGAUGGAAGAGAGGAGACAAGAAUAGCCACACUCCACUGAAUGACAAGUCAAAGAUUGCAAUGAGCAACUCUUUUACCUGGCUUGCCUGAGAUAAUUUUGAUACAUUACACUAAGCUUCAGGAGAGUGAAAGGGUGUAGGUUAUGUCAAUUAGCUUGUGGACUUUUUGCAAACCAUGUGAUUAAGGCUGGUGACAUUCUGCAUCAGGUUUUAACAAAACAAGGUUUCUAAAGUUAGUUUGGAUACAUUGAUUUUUCUUACACCACCACUGUUGCUAGUUGGGUAUAUUAAGUGAUAUUAUAGCAUACGUGCAAAGGGAAAUGAUUAUUUGGGACAGUGAAAAAAACUGUAUAUUCAAUGUGAUGAUAGAACAAGUGUGAAGGCUGAGUUUGGCAAUUUUGGGUUUGAUCCUCAACCUCUAAUUUUUGCAAGUUUGGAGCCAUGAUCUUCUAAUUAUUUAGCACAAAUGUUGAAGAAGUUAGACACAAAUGAGUCAAAGUUAAUCUAUCACAUUCAUUUUUAAACUUUAGUGUUUCUAUGAAUCAUCUGAAGAGCUUGUUAAGAGCCAGUGAGUUUUCGGGUGAGCCUCAGAUUUUGUAUUUCUAACAAGUUUCAGCUCAUAUCAAUGCUGCUGGUCCAUGAACUGUACUUGGAGUAGCAAGGAUCUAGAAUACUGUGUGUCAGAUGGAAAGAUGAGACAUUUAGUUUUUCUCCAUGAAUAAAAUACGUGAGAUUCAACUGUUGCUUUGUUUUGCAAUACUAUGGGAUUCCUCUCUAAAAAUUGUUCAAAAUCUCAUGCUUUGAAGAACUACAUUAUAUGGAUUGUAAAAUGACUUAAGCAGGAAGUACUUGACAUGAAUAUGUGCUUAAUAAAUAUUGAUUGGUUGAUUUCUGAAAAGUAGAUCUUCAGAGAUGUAAGGCAAAUGUCUUCCAGUAAUAUAAAAUGAUACAUCCCUACUUAGGGGAUCUAGGAUGCUAUGCAUUGAGACAAGACAAAGUUUAUGGUGUCAGAGCCAGAGAGAAAGCAAGGGUGAUCUGAGCCCAGCAACACAGCUCCAUUGUAAAUAGCUGCUCACCUGGGGCAAACAAGUGCUAUAGGAUAUGAUAAGGAAGGUUCAUUUCAUCAUUUUAUGGCUGUGUACAUCCUGGAGUGAAGGAAAGGCAUUAACGAGUUUGGUAAGAGCUGGCAAAGCCAGAGUCCUUAUUUGCAAGGCAUGGUAAGCCUAUGGGUGUGUUAUCAUUUACUUCAUUGUGAUUUACGACAGUCCUACUGCUGAUUAUACCUCUCUGACCCCCUCAGGGUUGGUUGGAAGUUGUUUAGAUCCUACCUUUUUCUCUCCAGACACCAGAGACUGCCAGAACCACGCUCACCUGUGAGUGAAACAAGCAAAUUCCCUGGCAUCAAGGGGAAGUUAAAACUUCUAUUUGAAACAACUUUUUGAACACUUUUGGCAUAUGUGGAAAUGUACAUAUACACACACGCAUAUGUAUGUGGAUUAUGUAAGGGGUUAUAAUAAAGUAAAAUUAAGAUUCAAGAGCAUUUUUGACUUUAAGAAAAAUAUUCCUGACCCAUGCACUCUUAUGUAACCUGAUCCCUCAGAAGCAUACAAGAUAAAUCAAAUUUACAGAGUUACAAAAAAGUGUUCACUGACUGCUGGAAAAUAUAUGAUGUCAUAUUUGUGGUUAAUGGCCUAAGUUAGAUUAAAAAGAUGCACUUUUUUGUAUUUUGAUGAUUUGUCCUUUGUUUUUUCUGUUUUAGUUAGACUUGACCAUGGAAUUGAUACUCUGUCAAUAAAUUCUUUAUCUUUCACUGUUGCCACUGGUAAGAAUAGCUAAAGGUUUUGCAGGAUAAUUGCCUUGAAGAAGGUAUCUUCAGAAUCCAUUUAUUUCAAUUAUUUGCCAAUAUUAUUCAAAAUUUCUUGUCUUCUUAUCACUAUCAAUGAGUAGAAAUUUUCAGGAUUGCUAAGAGUUUGUUAUGCUUUGUGGGAGAAAUUCUGUGUAAGAUUGAGUUUUGAAAAAAUUCCAUGUUGCAUAAUCUGGGGAAAUGCCUGUUCAUGCCUAUAUCUGAGCAAACUUUGUAACUUGUUUAUAAAGGAAAAAAGAUUUGAAAUUUAAAAUUUGGCAAUUAGGAGCACAUUAACUCUCCUUGUCUACAAUUUUUAUCGCACCAUAAAAAUACACUUUUAAGAAAAAAAAUAGCAUUCCUUUUAAAGGUUUCUUUCAAAAGAUAUCCCUUUAGGAGAUGGGAGUUAAAUAACAAAAUCAAUUACUCUCUUUGUUGGGUAAGUCAAGGACUCCCUAAGCCCAAAUUUUGAGUGCCUCUUGGCAUCUUUGUAUAUAACAACUGGAGGUUAUCCACACAUUAAUUGCCUCUAAUACUAUUCAAAUGCAUAAUCAAAUCCAACAAGUCAUUUCUGCUUAACUGAUGCAACACAGAUGAUGCCAUGCUUCCUGAGACUGAAAGGUUUGCUAAGGAAAUUGCCUCUAAAAUUAUGGCAAGUAUAAAAUAAAGGACUAUUAGAGGAGAUACCACCUUAGCUGCUGUACCUAGGGAUACUGAUAAAGGAUAUAUCACAACACUCAUUCAUAACUGAAAGGAUAUUAAAAUCCAAAUAAAGCAAAAGACCAAAGAUAACUUAAGCCAUACCCCAAAAAGCUAAUUAACUAAUAAGUUAUUUUACUGUUUAACAGAAUGAAGAGAUUAAUGGUAGACAACUCUUUAGCUGGAAUAUUGGAAAGACUUACACAAUGAAAGCAAUAAGUGACAUAGAUCUUGCUAAAAAUCAAUAAAGCAAGUAAAGCCAGUUGGCACACUAUUUAACGUGAAUCAAUGUGAAUGAUAUCUCAUCAAACUUGAGGUGUCAUUCAAGAAGGAAUACUUGCUAUUUCUGUCUCCUAAAUUUCCAAGAAGACAUUACAAGUGUCUAAAAUGAGCACACUCUUAGGUGACCCUGAUAGAAGUGCAUUUUAUAUUUACUUGUGAAACGUGCCCCAAAAGUUAAAGAAACCAAUAACUCAUAUAAAUUCUUGGGUUUGCAGGAUGUCAGAUUAAAAACAAGAAACAGCUUCCUGAAACACUAAAACUCCCUCCACUUGUAAGACAACAAAACUGGCUGAAAUCUUUUCGAACCGAUACGGCCAGCUGGAGUUUGCACAGAACAAGCUUGCUGAUGUCACAGCCUGGAUUUCCACUGCACGUUUUAUAUUAACUCCUCCCCAAAUUUGCACAUGGGACCUAUAAGGAAGCACAAAGGGAUGACUGUGCGUGCCUGAGGGUCUUUCAGACCUCUCCUUUCCUCCCACCAAUUACCUGCUAAUCUCAGAAUCCACCCUCUUAAACCUUUUCUAGUAAAAGUAUUGCCUUAAAACCAGCACAGAGAGAUGGAUCUGAGCUUGACUCAUAUCUCCUUGUAAGUCAACUUGCAAUAAAUAGCUUUUCUUUCUCAAAAACUUGGUGUUAUAUUAUUGGAUUCUAGAACAUUGGGCAGCAAGUUCCUUUUGCUUGAUAGCACUUUUGUAUAAAUGUGUAUGUGUAAGGAUGUAAUUAACAGCAUCCUUUUAGGUUUCUGCAUUUAUAUUAGGCCAAAUCGAUAUACCUUUUAGAUAUUGCUGGACUUGGAUUCAAUUUGCUUUGUUCUCCAUUUCAUUUACUAAAAUCUGGGUCUAAUGUAAGAGUUCUUGGUAUAUUACAUAAACAUAAAUCAUUGCUGCUGAAGUUCUAAUAGGACUCUGUUGCUACUUGCAGAAACCAGCUUUGAGGUAGUCAAGGAAAGAGGAUAAAGAAAAGAACAAAACUGAGGUUUUAAUUUCAUACAUGAUUUGUGUCUUUGACAGUGCUUUUGUUUCAUACAAAACACAAACGAAAUAAAAAUUUAGGUUCCAUUUCUGUCCCUUGCCAUGUUAACUGUCCAAUAUAAAAAGAAUUGAGCAUUAUGAAGUAGGGUUCUGCAGCUUGCUAGAUAAUAAAGAUAUUGAAAGAAGGGUUCAAUUUGGGUUGGAUGCCAAUAGUGGUGAAGCAUCCUGCAUGUUCACGUUGGCUCUCCAGAACUUUCAGGACUUGAUAAUUCUGCAGGAACGCAAGGUGGGGGCCUGACUUCUCUUAAGCCACACCAAUGCCAGUUAAAUUUGGGAUUGACAGAAAAGUAGAGAAAGAAUAGUUAAGUUUGCAUGAACUUCAUUUAUGUCUUUUUUUUCAUGUGUGUAUUCAUGCAGUGUUCACUCCCUACUCACUAUAAGCCACGUGCUCUGCAAGAUACUAGGUAUACAAAGAUGAAUAAAUUUGUCCUUGAGGAACAAGUAAUUAUAAAGUUAGAAGAUAAAGAUAAAAA
rnacentral:lncRNA from 1 species